rnacentral:rRNA from 1 species
AGAUUGAACGCUGGCGGCAGGCCUAACACAUGCAAGUCGAGCGGAAACGAGUUAUCUGAACCUUCGGGGAACGAUAACGGCGUCGAGCGGCGGACGGGUGAGUAAUGCCUAGGAAAUUGCCCUGAUGUGGGGGAUAACCAUUGGAAACGAUGGCUAAUACCGCAUAAUGCCUACGGGCCAAAGAGGGGGACCUUCGGGCCUCUCGCGUCAGGAUAUGCCUAGGUGGGAUUAGCUAGUUGGUGAGGUAAGGGCUCACCAAGGCGACGAUCCCUAGCUGGUCUGAGAGGAUGAUCAGCCACACUGGAACUGAGACACGGUCCAGACUCCUACGGGAGGCAGCAGUGGGGAAUAUUGCACAAUGGGCGCAAGCCUGAUGCAGCCAUGCCGCGUGUGUGAAGAAGGCCUUCGGGUUGUAAAGCACUUUCAGUCGUGAGGAAGGUAGUGUAGUUAAUAGCUGCAUUAUUUGACGUUAGCGACAGAAAGAAGCACCGGCUAAC